UUUUUGUAUUGCUAGGUUGAAGUAGGUUGGGCUUGCCGACUUCAAUCCAAUAUGGGCCUAAUUUGGGCCGGUUAUCAUACCAGUUGUUUGGAAAUCAUAAAAAUGAACGGGCUCGUGUUGGCUCAAUAUUCAUUCCUGGGUUAGAUAAUAAAUUUAGAGCUUGUAGCAGAUGUGAGUUUCAUUGUACAUCAAUGUCCUUGAGGAGACUUUAACUACUACAUAAUCUUCAAUGUUUUUCUUGAUGACCAGAUGCUUUUGGAUUGUCUGGUUGGACUGUGAUCUGAGGCAUGUCAUUGUUCAAGCCUCAUUCCUUCAGGCAUUUGGAAUGUCUUAUCUUGUUCUUAUGAACUUUUAUUCAUGCUAGUAUCUCUCGAAAUUUGGGACUAGGCUGGGAAAGGUUCUUGACAUGUGAACAAUUUUUAUCUGCACUAGUUUGACACUAGUGAAAAUUGCUGGGCAAAGUUAAGUUUUGCUGGCUUUCAUUUUGAAGGGCUAUACUUUAAAUUUGGAAGAGGUGAGUUGUAUUGCGAAAGGAUCUUGAGGUGAAGGUGUGUGGUAAGUGGGCUGAGGCGGCCUUUACUAUGGGCUGUAUCCAUUGUGUCAAAAACAUGUAAGCCAGUGAAUAUUUAGUAACCGAACAGUCUCUGAAUGCCCCAUGAUGCUUGAUGAUGAUACACUUUUUGUGUUCUCUAUAGCCUUUGACAGUCUAUAUAUGUUACUGCUGGAUGCCUGGAUGGCUGCAAGUUAUACGGUAGUUUCCUGAUGGAUGUUGUCUAAAGAUUACCAUCUACCUUUUUUUUUCAGCAAUCUGUGUUUCCAUCAGUCCCAGACAUUUGAGGAAGCUGAUUCAAAGCAAGAUGGGAAGAUUGACAAGGAAGAGUGGCGCCUGUCUUGUCUUGCGACAUCCCUCUCUGCUGAAGAAUACGACCCUUUUUUAAUAGUUUCAGAGAAUGCAUUGUUUGAUCUCCUAAUCUCCCUUUCUGUUUUUGCUAUUCGAAUGUCAUGCACCUCAUGAACAGGGACAUCACGACUGCAUUCCCGAGCUUUGUGUUUCACUCUCAAGUCAACGAUACAUGAGCUCUUGAUUUGUAUAAAAUUAUUGGAUUUUAAUAGUGUGUUUGAUGCAAAUUUUUUCUCAGGAGAACGUUAUACGACGCUGGUGUUGGUUUCAAGGAUCAAUUUUGGCGUCCA